GGAGCUGCGUGGGCAGGGGGCGAUGCUGGGCGCGCGGCGGCGACAGAACUGCCCCGAGAAGCAUCAGGCGGUCUAGGCGGGUCUUCUUGUGCUUCGAUUGGACGACAGCGACGCACCGGAGAUGCUGGCGACGUCGGAGUGGUGGCGGGUUGCAGAGUCGACGACGUGAGCUCGCCUGGGAGCUCGGAACUGGGAAUUUAGGGGCGGGGUAGCUUCUGUAGGUCCUGGUGAUGCUAUAAACGCGAGGAAUUGAAGAACCUCUGGUGGAGCGGUCGCCAUUUGACAGGAAUUGGUGCUGACUGAGCUUCUUGCCGGAGCUUGAAUUGAGGACCAAGUGGGGGAGGGAAAGAGAGGCAGAGGCACGGCUUAGAGCAUCUUCAAGAAUUUUGGGAGGAGAUUUUGGGGAUGCUCUUAGGGCUUCCAGGACGUGCUAAAGCCAAAUUCAGUAUUUUUUAUAAUUUGGCAACGGUGCUACACGUGUUUUUCCUCUCCAGUGUGAAGGAAUGCCAAAUUUCUGAGAAUGGGACCUACCGAAGAGUAAACUAUCUUUAUUUUUCUAACCGCUCUCUAUUCUUUGAGCAACCGAUGCCUUAUCUCUUCCUGUUUACUCCUAUCUUCUUCAACCUUCUCCUCCAAAAGCUCAAAGAGGAAGAGAUCUAGCAGCGCCAGGGACGGAUUGAGGGAGAGUAGAGAGAGAGAGCGCGCGCUCCGGCCGGUACCACCUGCUGCCGUCCGUCGUCAGCCGCGCUGAAGAAGCACCACGCUGCCGGCCGCGCCGGAGUUCGCCCUCGCCUGACGGAGUCGCAUCGAAUCGCCGCUGGGAGCUCGUCCUCGCGGGCCUGGUCUCCCUUUCUCCUUUCCACCAUUCUCCAACGUUCCUUCGUCUUCGAUGCUUCCGUGCCAUGGCGCGAGGGAUGGAAGACAGUCAAUGAUCGAAUUUUUUAUUCUCAAGCCAAAUUUGGAGCCAGAGCACCUACUCGCUCCGGUGCCCAAAAUUCUAAAUUUAUCUUAACCGGUUGAUAAGACUUGCUAGAUAUGGAUAGCUAUUCUACCAAACCCUGUGUGUUUAAUGGUGUUGAUUUUUAGUUUUGGAAGACGAAAAUGAAGAUAGACACCAUGACACAAAGAUAUGCCAUAUGGGAGAAGGUCGCCAAGCCCUAUGAGCUUUCCGCGGACGAUGCGAUCACACCAACAAACUUGGUCCACGUGGAGAACAACUAGAAGGAGAGGAACUACAUCAUCCAAGGUCUACAACAAAGUGACUUCGAUCGUGUCGCUCACCUUGCAUCCGCUCAUGAGGUAUGGAACGCAUUUUAUAGUUAUUAUGAAGGAUCAAACUCUGUUAAGGAGGUGUGUCAGGACAUGUACAAAAAGGAGUACAUGAGAUUUGAGAUGAAUACAGGUGAAUCUUUGGAUGAAUUCUUUGCACGCUUUAAUAAGAUUCUCAGCAACUUACGUGCAUUAGGUGUUACUUAUACUGAUGUUGAGGCUUCUAAGCAACUUUUGAGUGCAUUAGAUAUGUCCAUAUUUUUACUAGGAGAACCGGUUCCAAAUCAAUUGCACUUGUUACUAACCCUGACAGCUCUAAUGAUGGUACUUCUACAUAUUGCUAUGCUCUGUCUUCUUUGUCUCAACUAACUGAUGAACAGCUAGAGCAAUACCCAGAGGAAGAAUUGGCACUCCUCACCUCUCGUUUUACACGUGCCCUGCAAAAUGUUCGUUCAAGGAAGAGAGGUGGGAACAAUGCUCCAAGGUGCUUUGAAUGUAGUGAUCCAAAUCACUUGCGCCAAAAUUGUCCCAAAUUCUUAUCCAAGAUGGCGAAAGAAAAAAUGGGAGGACAAGAAGAAGAAGAGCCCCUUUAGCAUCAAGAAUAAAAAGAGGGGCGACUUUGCUCGAGCGGUGGCUCACAGUAUUUUCUCUGUAAUCAAUGAAUAUGGUGAACCAUGCUUGAGUGAUGUGGAUAUCGAGUCUGAUGAAGAUGAUGCAUCCAAAGGCAAGCGCGACAUUAAUGGGAUGUGUCUUAUGGUUAGCAACAAGAAUGUUACCUCCUGCAACGCCUACGACAGUGACAGGAACAAUGAGGCACUUCGCGUGAGGAAGGAGAACAUAUGGCUAGUGGACUCCGGUUGUUCUCGUCACAUGACCGGUGAUAAAAAUUGGUUCUCCUCCCUCAAACGUGUAUCUCAGGCUGAAAGUGUAACCUCUGGAGAUGCUUCUACCUCUACUGUUGUGGCGAAAGGUACAGUAAAGGUAACCGACAAUUUUGUGUUCAAAGAUGUUGCUUUGGUUGAAAAUCUAAAAUACAACUUAUUGUCGGUUUCAAAAAUGAUUGAUGAGGAUCUUGAAGUAUGUUUCAAGAAGAGUGCUUGCAAAGUUUUAGAUGCUUCGGGUGAUCUUGUUUUUGAUAUAUCACGUUUUGCGAAAGUUUUUAAGGCUAAUUUUCAUGCUGCUUCAGAUGCAAAAUUUAGGUGUCUAGUUGCCAACACAUCUACAGAUUUAUUAUUUUGGCAUCGUAGACUUGGGCAUAUUGGUUUUGAUCAUCUUACUCGCAUUAGUGGUAUGAAUGUCUUAAAUGGUUUGCCUAAACUUAAGGGAGAAAAACAUGUUGUAUGCUCUCCGUGUAGACAUGGUAAGAUGGUUGCAAGUUCUCAUGCACGCAUUACUAGUGUCAUGACUGAUGCUCCAGGACAGCUUCUACACCUUGAUACAGUUGGUCCAUCAAGAGUACAAUCUUUUGGUGGAUUGGUCACUUGAAUCAUAGGCCUGUUGCAAUAACUAUGCCAAACAGGUCCCCUAUUGCCCCCUUAGGAAACAACGGAUCAUCUGGCUCAAGUGCGCAGACAAAGGGCUAGAACCCCUAGAACUAAGACCGGAGCUGGUGACAAGCUAGAGGAAAUUGAUCGACCUCUUCUGGUUCCUAUAGGCACAUAAGUAUUAGCUAGUUGCUUUACUUGUUGGGGCAAUAUUCAUACGCUAACUUUCUUUAAUGUCCAUUCAUAAUAGUCAAUAGGAAAAGCACCAGUACACUGCUCGUGAUCCGUCAACAGUGAAGGUGCAUUACUAUGCAAGUGUUAUCCAGAGCCAAUGGUCCUGAUGAUGAUAAGAAACCGGUGUCCUCUUGGGAUGACUACAAGUGUCCCCCUCAUGCAGGAGCAAGAACAACAACAUCCGUGGUUGUUGAAUUUUUUUGGGGGGGCUUGGGAACUAAUAUUGGAGGCAGCCACAGCCGUGACAAGGAUCUUCAUAUGGAUGAUGACGAGCACGAUAUGUAUGGCAACGAGGAAGAGAGUACUAUGGCGACAAAGGAGAUGAGUAUUAUCAUGGCGAUGAGGGUGCUGAAGACUAUGGAAAUCAGCAAGGUGAUCACUAAGAUGAUGAUUGAGUACGCAUGCAAAGUGAAGAUCUGAUGUUUGUGGACAAUUUAUCUUUUGUAAAAAGAUAGGACCAUUUUAUUGCAGUUUAUUUUGUUUUGCAUCCUGGCACUAUCGGGAUCUUUAUUAUGCAACUCAUUAGGCAUGUGUAAUAUUGGGUGAAAUAUAAUAUAUGUCGUUUGUCA